GGGGUUGUGGCUCAGUGGUAGAGCGCUCGCCUUGCACGUGCGAUAUCCUGGGUUCGAUCCUCAGCACCACA
rnacentral:tRNA from 1 species